GGUAUGUCCAGUCUUUUUUAGUAGCCACUUAGUCACAAACACUGGCCAAAGUUAGCAUUUAUAUUUGAGUGUUAAAAAUGCAAAAAACAGUUAUGAAAGCUAACUUUGGCCAGUGUUUGUGACUAAGUGGCAACUAAAAGAGACUGAACAUACC